AUUGAACGCUGGCGGCAGGCUUAACACAUGCAAGUCGAGCGGGGUGAUGGUGCUUGCACUAUCACUUAGCGGCGGACGGGUGAGUAAUGCUUAGGAAUCUGCCUAUUAGUGGGGGACAACAUCUCGAAAGGGAUGCUAAUACCGCAUACGUCCUACGGGAGAAAGCAGGGGAUCACUUGUGACCUUGCGCUAAUAGAUGAGCCUAAGUCGGAUUAGCUAGUUGGGGGGGUAAAGGCCUACCAAGGCGACGAUCUGUAGCGGGUCUGAGAGGAUGAUCCGCCACACUGGGACAGAGACACGGGCCAGACUCCUACGGGAGGCAGCAGUGGGGAAUAUUGGACAAUGGGGGGAACCCUGAUCCAGCCAUGCCGCGUGUGUGAAGAAGGCCUUAUGGUUGUAAAGCACUUUAAGCGAGGAGGAGGCUCUUUUGGUUAAUACCCAAGAUGAGUGGACGUUACUCGCAGAAUAAGCACCGGCUAACUCUGUGCCAGCCGCCGCCGUAA
rnacentral:rRNA from 1 species